UCUUUUGUUGUAUUUAUCUAUAAGAAAUAUCCCUAAGAUAAUUUUAAUUUUUAGAAUUUUUCUUAAUUUCAGUUGCUUUUUAAAAAUAGUAAGUUACUAUUUAAAGUUCAAAGACAGGAUAUCUAGCUGGGAUAGCUAGUUGGGUGCCCGUAAUCCUAGCACUCCGGGAGGCUGAGGUAGGAGGAUCACAAAUUCGAGCCCAACUCGGCCAAUUCAGCAAUUUAAUGAGAAAAAAUAAGAAAGGUGGACAUGCAGUUCAAGGGUCUGAGUUCAACCUCAGUUACUACCCACAAAAAAUGAUACGAUAUCUAUAAUUAGAUAAAACCAAAGGUACUAACAAGCUUUUAGGAGAAAAGCCAAGAUAUUGGUAAACUAGAGUGUACAAUUCCCUUUGACAGAUGGAGAGAAAAGAUCGUAAGGCUGUAGCUUGUGAUGGGAACAGAGAUGGAAGACAACUACCUGUUCAAGAGACAACGAGUGGUUAUUUUUGCCUGGAACGUAAUGACAAAGGACAGAGAUGGAGAGAAAGGCACUGUUAGGAGCUGAGCUGUGCUGAAGAGUUGGGAGUCGAUCCUGAGAUCACAGGAAGACAAUCCGGCCAGCAUUUAGGGUUCUCACCCUGGAUGCACCCUCCUCCGUGAGAGACAGACACAGCUCUGACGGUCACGAUGAUGAUGAUGACGCUGACCUGGCAUGGGCUAUGGCGCUCACUGGGCAGCUCGCGUGGCUCAGGGGGGAGUGUGCCAUCACUGAGGGUCUCACCUGAGAAAAGUGUAGGGAAGUCACAGAGGAGACAGCAAGCUCAGGAUCCAGGAAGGCUACUCUCAGGGCAGAAAAGCUCAGUGUUUGGGAGAGAAAGGACAGCUGUGUGGAAGAAGAAGUGAGGCUCAAGGAGAGAGGAGGAUGAGCUAGGGGAUAGGAUGCUGCCUCGUGAAGCUGAGGGCUGGCCCAUCACCUGACGAGCAGGGUUAACCUGCUGGCAGCACAGACAAGCAAGAAGCUGUCCGGGAGACUCAACAGUUUCUAUUUUCUCUGCAAAUAUGGUCACAAUAUUAAAAAGAAUGGCAACAGCCAGUCAGUAUAAACAGGACUGAAGUUUUCAGAAAGAGAGAGAAGAGAGAGAGUCUGAUGUUUUAUAAAUACAGCACGGGAGAAAUAUGUGUAUCUCUUAAUUAACAACAGACAUUACUCCAAGUCGAUGUGCAUUAUAUGGGUCCAAUUGCUAAGUCACGAAUAAAAUUCCUUAGCUCAAGUAAUGUUUUCACAUUACAUACGGCUUCCAACAUUUCUGCUGUUUGGAGCACUUAAGGUAGGAAAAGCCUCCCCAACGCACUUUCUUCCACUUUGAUCGUGCCAAAGCCCCCAAGAGAGGAGGUUUCUCCCACAUUGAUUCUCUAUGCACAGCUAUGCAGGGCCUUGGCACAGGACGAUGAUAAAACGCGGCAGCUUCUCGCCCAACAAAACCUACUGUCGACAGGGCCCUCCCACCCCUGCAAGGCCUCUCCUCACACAGUUUCCCACUAAUGGAGCAAAUGGGUAAGUUUUCAAAGAAAUUCUCUUAAGGGGGCUUUAUUUAUUUAUUUAUUUAGUACCGGGGAUCAAACUCAGGACCUUGCACUUGCGAGGCAGGCAUGGUGUCACUGAGCUAAACCCCUGGCCCUAAGGUAGCUUUAUUGACUCAGGUAAUAAGGUAAACCUCUGACAUUUCACAAUUUUGCACUGUCCUAUUUUACAGAUUAUUUUACUGAAUAAUUCAGCUGUGGAUCACCUAAUGCAGUAUGAGCUAUGAGUGAAAUUGUGAAACUUUGCUCUAAGACCUGACAGUUCUGCCAUGUCUUUGCAUAAGACUAUUUUUCAGUCAUUCAAGAAGAUUUCAUAAUACCCAGGCAUGUUGGCCCAUGCCUGUAUUGCCAGCUACUCUGGAGGCUGAGGCAGGAGCAUUUUAACUUUGAAGCCAUCUUGGACAACUUAUUGAGGCUGUCUCAAAAUAAUAAAAUAAAAUAAAAGAGACAGGAGGUGUAGUUCAGUGCAAGGACUUGGGUUCUAUUGUCCUAGUACUGCAAAAAAAAUAUUAGCUUUUGAUUAAGUUGUACCAACAUAUUUUCUCCCACUUUAAAACUAAAAUGAAA
rnacentral:lncRNA from 1 species